ACAGGGUACGGAAUGGAUCUCGGAGGAGGGCGUCGCUGCUGGGCCUUCAAGAGAGCCCGCGGUACAUCCCUAGAGCCAUCGGUCUCCUGAUCU
ensembl:misc_RNA